AGGCUAUUAUUCAAACUGUACAACUCGAGAAUGGUAGAGGUCACUGGAAUUUCUUGUGUAGGAGUGAAAUCCGUAGAUAUAAGAAGGAACACCGAUGGCGUAGGCAGGUUACUGGGCCAUUUCUGACGCUAAGGCACGAAAGCGUGGGGAGCGAACCGGAUUAGAUACCCGGGUAGUCCACGCCGUAAACGAUGGAUACUAGCUGUUGGAGGUAUCGACCCCUUCAGUAGCGAAGCUAACGCGUUAAGUAUCCCGCCUGUGGAGUACGGCCGCAAGGCUAAAACAUAAAGGAAUUGACGGGGACCCGCACAAGCGGUGGAUCGUGUUCUUUAAUUCGAUGCUAAACGAAGAACCUUACCAGGGCUUGACAUCCAGGGAAUUUUUGGGAAACCAAUUAGUGCCUUUUGGAACCCUGUGACAGGUGAUGCAUGGCCGUCGUCAGCUCGUGUCGUGAGAUGUUAGGUUAAGUCCUUCAACGAGCGCAACCCUUGUGAAUAGUUGUAUUUUUCUAUUCAGACUGCCCCGGUAACGGGGAGGAAGGAGGGGAUGAUGUCAGGUCAGUAUUUCCCUUACGUCCUGGGCUAGAAACACGAUACAAUGGCUAGUACAAUGCGCAGCGAAGCCGCGAGGUGAAGCAAAUCGCAUCAAAGCUAGUCCCAGUUCGGAUUGUAGGCUGAAACUCGCCUGCAUGAAGUCGGAAUCGCUAGUAAUCGCAAAUCAGCAAGUUGCGGUGAAUACGUUCCCGGGUCUUGUACACACCGCCCGUCAAACCAUGAAAGUGACCAACACCCGAAGUCCGAUUCGUCGGCCUAAGGUGGGGGGCAUGAUUGGGGUUAAGUCGUAACAAGGUAUCCGUACCGGAAGGUGCGGAUG
rnacentral:rRNA from 1 species